rnacentral:lncRNA from 1 species
AGCCCCAGCGCUGGCUGCGGCGGAACCCACGGCGUACCUUCCCGCCUCCAACAAACUAUCCGGUUGCUGAGGUUGAUUUAGCAACACCCCAGGGCAUCUGGGUUGGCAGGAGCACCACAGUGACAGCCUGGCCCAGGCUCGGGUACGGGAGGCAGCCCAGUGGCCCGCAGUAGAGGGCCAGGCUGGGGACCAGGGAGCUGGGGCUGAGGAGAAUUUGUACAGCCUAGGGAGGCGCAGCACAGCAGUAUCAGCCUCUGGCAUUUGUACCACCUUUAGUCCUGCCACUUUCUCUCACUGUGGCUUCGCAACAGACUUGGGAACCAAGAAAGGCAUAGGUGAGGAAGCUGAAGCCCAGUCUGGGCUCGCGGAAGAAACUGGUGGAUCCAACUUCUGCAUAGCGCAAAUAUCUGCUUCCUGCCUCCACCCACCCAUUCCCACUUCCGUGAGUAUAUUCAUCCAUCCAACACUUAUUAUUACUCCUUGCCAGGACAGUUCUAGGGGCUGGGGAUAGAGUGAACAAAACCAAGGUUCUGCCCUCCUGGAGUUCACGUUCCAUGGGAAUGCCCUUCUUCCAGGCUCCUCCCUCAGUGCCCAGGUUGUGGCUGUGGGAGGCUGGUCUACCUUUGUGGUUUAGCGGUAACUUACGUGAUUCCCACGUCAAGUGUAAGCUCCUUGAUGAUUGGUUCAAUCUUCACCUCAAAUUUCUGAGGACCUACAAACUACAAAGCACUCUUCUAGGGGCCCAAAGAUAAAACGCUCCCCUCGUGAAAAUCCCGGACUUUUGGUGGGAGGUGGGGAAGGUGACAACUAUGCUCAUAAGCUUGGCUACAAGACCGGCGAGGCCAAGAGCUACUUUGGUAUCCUGACAAGGACUGAUGUUUGGGAGGGGGAUCCAGCAGAUGGGAACACCACGAAGGUGGUGGUGGGAAAAGUCAGCAGUCACAGGGUGGUUCACCUUGUGGAUCCCACUACUGCACCAGCAAAGAGCAGGCUGGGCACACAGAGACAGUCAAAAUCCCAGCUUCCUUUCCCUCUGCUUCACAUUCUUCCUUCCGCAGGCAGGGGAGUUUGAACCUUAUCCACAGGGCCAAGCCUGUCCCAGCCCUCUAGGCAAACUGGCAGAACAGGCAGCUGGCCCCUCACAGGCACUCCGGGCUGGGCCAGUGCAGGUCGCAGCAGUUGUUUUACCUAUGAACAUCAAGCACAUGGUCAAACCCUCAGCUUAGGUGCCCCAGGCAGGCGGGCUACACACUUGGUAGCAUUUCCUUUGACACAAGGAGCAGCCAUGGCCCGGGCUCAGAGACUGACAGCCUCUGCCUGCAGGGUCUGCGUGGUCAUUUCUCCUGCUUCUCAGAAGGUGGUGAGCUUUUCCCAGGAAACCAUUAUAAGGAAGUGCCCAUUCUUUAUCUUGUUCUCUCUGCUCACUUCCCUUAGCCUGAUUGGGGAACUCUAGAGCCCCACAUCAGAGUUCAACAUGUGCCUCAGGAGCUUCAGCACCUCUUUUGUGGGAGGAGAGUCCGCUGGUGACUGGGGCUGCAGGCCAUGACAUCAGCCUGCCCAGCUUCACCUCAGGCUGCUUCCAACAGUGCCAAGUGAGGUCCCUUGGCAGGAUCCCUGCAAGGCAGCGGCUGGCCACCAGGAGGCAGCAGCCUACUCUACAAGGCACUUUCUUCAUUCCAACCCCUUGUAACAGGUCUGAGGAAACCUGUUCGCCCAGCCAUGUGCUGCAACCAUCCUCCACUCCCAAUCUUAUCUCCCAAUAGCACAGAUUCCCCUAUCAUGAGUCCAGACUUGGCCUUCAUCUCCUCUUGCCUUCCUCUGUCCAAGGAAUCACUACAGAGAUUCUUUCUCUAUCCUUCUUUGUAAAUUUCCAGAAAAUUGUUUCCCCAGGGCCCCUCCCCUUGAAGAAAUUAAACAGGAAGCUGGAGUAGACUGUCCCUUCUUUCCCCCACCUCUCACACUCCAAAGCUCUGUUUAACUCUGUGGGCCAGUGGCUAGAUUCCCCAACAUGGAUGACAGAGAAUACACAUGCAAUAAGAAUGUUUUCGCUGCCACCAGCCACUCACAGACACACUGUCUCCCACCCUCUGAAGGCAUUGUGCCCAAUCCCCAGCCACUCACUGUCUAGUCAGGGCUGCCCCUGCAGGACUUGCCUUGGCUGAGGACCAGCUAGCUUCAAGCCACUCUGAAGUCAGCUUGCUGUUUCCCCUGGAGCCUGGUAAUACAUCCUUCUUCAGGUGAACAAAAGCAGAAAAAGCCCAGUGAACCCCACUGCAACAAAGAGCCUGCCAUCAGUCUUCCUUCUGUUCCUGCCUAUCUCAUCACCCAAGGGCUAUCCCAGAGCCCACUAUGUUCUAAGAUCUAUUCCUUUCACCACCACCCAGCCAAACAACUAUCCAGACAAUUCCUUGAUCAAACAACACUGCCUUCUUGAGUUUAAAUUUUAUUUUACAAAAAGAGAAAUAAAGAAAACUGAUAGGCAGUUAUACUGACUUACAAUUGUUCUGUUUGCUUUUUUUUAAAAAAGUGACAUGAAACACAAGUAAAAAUAAAUACGUCAUAGAAACAGCCAGUUGCCCAGUCUCUGGGGCAGGAGCGCCUGCCCUGCUGAGAGGAGGGAAGCCCAUGAUCACACCAGCAGCUGGAUCACCCAGCCACAGAUGCUCCUCGAAGCCAGGCACAGGUCCCAGGCCUCAGGGGCGUCCUGAGGAAAGAAGACGGAAAACCAAAGCCAGGUGCCAGGACCCUGGGGCCACCUCAUUAUCCCCCACUCCUCCUGGCAGCAGUCUGGUCUUAGUGGUUAUCCAUAGCGACCCCCCUUAACCCACCUGGACCCUCUUCCCCUGACCUCUCUGAAGAUGGUACAAGGGAAAAACCUGUCUUGGGCAGGCUGGGGGGGAUUCUUCUGGUGAGUCCCCAGCCCACCCUGAGUAACACAACCAGAUAACAGUCAUUUUACACCCAGGUGCACAUGAGCACAGCACACAAACACACACACACACACUCACACACACACACACACACAGCUGGGCUGAGCUCUCUUCCAGGGAGGGUCCUGGGUCCAGUCACAGUAUGAGGUCCUCUCUCUUCUGAAUAUCAUCCCAGUAGUGGCAGCAGAGAGUACCCAAACCUCCCCAAGCCCUCUGCAUUGCAGACACUGCAGCCUGCUUGGCUACCCCUCCCCAACACACUAGAUUACUAUGUCAAAUAGACCUGCAAAAGGGAAAGGUGCACACUCAGGUCCCUGAAGAGCAAAGAAGUUGGACACUGCCUGCUCAAGAAGUUCAUUGUUAUAAGACUCAGGUAUUCAUAAAAGGCCUAGGGCUAAGCUAGUAGCACAGAAAAGCCGUUAAGGGGAUCACAGCAGAAUACACAGGGCAGAAGAGAAGAGUUGGCAGCAGGGGAACGGAGUCUCAAGGUGACCAAUAGAGAGCACAACAUUCUCAAAUAGUCCUUGAGGUGCUGAUUCCUGGGAGUAGUCAGCAGAGGGCCAGAACAUCUCCCAGGGGUCCUUUUGGGGAAGGAUGACUUCACUUAGUUUUAGGGGUGAAGAGCCACUGAGCUGGGUGCACAGAAGGCCAUGGCUCAGAAGGGAAAGACUGAUCUGAGAAAUCAAAAGGAAGUGGGGGCCAGGAGCAGUGGCUCACGCCUGUAAUCCCAUCACUGGGAGGCCGAGGAGGGUGGAUCACUUGAGGUCAGGAGUUCAAGGCCAGCCUGGCCAACGUGGUGAAACCCCGUCUCUACUAAAAAAUAUACAAAUUAGCUGGGCAUGGUGGUGUGCACCUGUAAUCCCAGCUACUUGGGAGGCUGAGGCAGGAGGAUCGCUUGAAACCGGGAGUGGAGGUUGCACGGAGCCAAGAUCACACCAUUGCACUCAAGCCUGGGUGACAGAGCAAGACUCUGUCUCAAAAAAAAAAAAAAGGAAGUGGGAAGCAGAAGGUAAUAUCCAGAACACUAGUAACAAGGAAUGUAAAGCCCCCAGAAGACCUUCCCCAUGGGAUGAGGACUCAAUUUCAGAGCAAUGCCAGGUUUGAAUAGACUCACACAGAGGGCCCUUCUCUGCUGACAACUUUGGGAGUGAUGGUCCUACCCAGGCCACUUAAGUUUGGCUAAGUGUUUCAACCAAUCUGCAAAACUGUACCCCAGCACUUUGCUUCCUGCUCCUGAAUUGAGAAAUUUCAUAUUUAGUUGUGAAUCACAAGCAUAUAGAGACUCCACACACUAAUUCCUAGGGAAGAGAGCUCCAAGGAUCACAAGCAUAUAGAGACUCCACACACUAAUUCCUAGGGAAGAGAGCUCCAAGGACCAGACAGAAUUAUCCUUAAAUCAGGAGAUGAUGAGAUAGAUGCCUAAAAAGCAUAACUCAAAGGGGUGUGGACUUCAUAGAUAUCCAAUCUAAAGAAAAUGAUAUGACCCAACAUGGUUCACUUCCUUUCUUAAAUAGCUACUUUGUCCCUGUUCAAUUUUUAUCUACAAAUAUAUUAAGAAAAGGAAAUCAAGCAUCACUAUAAAUGGUAAACCUCAAUCAUUAAGUAGUACUGUGUUCCCCAGGCUGAGAACUUGGCUAAACCAGAUGAAUGGGGCUUGAGAGGCCCUUGAAAACAUUCCAUGGAAGACAAUGGUAAGGGAAAACGCCUAGGCCUGAUUUUCUGCCCUCCCUCUUAUCACCAGCCACCCUGCCCCCCUCAGGCCUGGAUAAUGGGUGGAAGACACCACCAAGUGUUUAUGAUCAAAGAAACUAUAAAACAUGGUUCUUAGGCUCUGAGAUACUUCCUGCUUCCCUCACAAACAUGCUUAUGUUUGGUGUGCAUGCACAUUUGCCUAUCAGCACAUAUAAAGAGACAGUGGAAAAGUCAGAAGUGUUUUCAGGUUAUUUUCUUUAAAAAAAAAAAAAAAAAAAAAAAAAAAAAAAAAAAGCAAAAACCAUGGACCUGGUAGCACUCCAAUUUCCCAUGAUCCCACCCCCAACCCCUCUACACAAUAGAAACUGCACAUAUAAAAGAAAGCCUUCUCUAGUCAGGUCAGCCUCCCAGAAUGAUGGCCUCUGCUGAGUAGAAGCAAGACCCAGUCCCUGGAACACUGGAUAGACAGUAGGCAUGUGCUGCCUCUCAGAAUACCCAUUUACUUUCUGUCAACUUCAAAAGCCAAGCCCAUCCCUCCAGGGAAUGGUUUCAGUUCCCGGCUGGGAAGGUUUCCGGAUUCUUGGAGGCUAGUACAGUGAUUUCCUAGAAGUGAACACAGAAAUACUACCCCCUUCUCCCGACAACACACACACACAGACAUACACAUGCACACAUGCAUCUCUGGGAUCCCAGUGCUCCAGGGCCUGAGAGGCAUCAGUGUAACCCAGGUUCUGAGUGUGUCCCAUAAAUUGGAGAUUCAGUCUAGCUCACUCCUACUGCACCAGCCUCAACCUGAGAGCUCACUCCAACUGAGUCCCUUCACCAUCCAUUCUUGGGAUGCAUCUGAAAGAGAAAGCACUGGUUGGAACUGCUAUUUUUAAAUUAUUAAAAUAAUUUGCAUAGCUAAAUUGUAGAUCUAAGGCUUCCAUGAGUAGAAGAGUUAAGUGUCUGGCAGGGUGCUUAUGAAAACACAAAGCUUCUUAAGUUCCACUUUUGGUGUUAUUGGACAGCAGACAAACACACAUAUACACAUGCACCCCAUCCAUCAUCUCCUUGUCUCUUCUCUGAGGACAAUACCCCAGAGUCUGCUAAGGCCCUCCAAAGAUGGAAAUGGGCUGGUCAGAAGAGCUGUAGGAGCUACUACUGGGAUGACCUGACUAAGCUGCCUUCUGGGCUGGGAAGAGGCAGGUACACCACCUGCCCAGUAAGGAGGGAGCCAUGGGUAAGUGGUAAAGCUCUAAAGCCAAAGUUUGUUCAUCAUAAAGAACUGUCUGGCAAAGUGUUGGGGUGGGGGAUACAGAGGGGGCGGGGACACCAGUAGGAAGACAGCCAGUGUUUAUGCUUAAGGACUAGACGACCCUCCCCUGGCAAUGGCAAUAAGGGGAGACCCAGAAUGACUGGUGUGUUCUUUUAAGAUAAAACCCAGACUUAGGGCUCCUACAGAGAAAGGGCUCCUCCAUGUUCCUUCAAAGAUGGAGGCAGCAGACACCAGGCCUACAUGGACCACCUGAAGAUAUUUUCGAACAUGAAAUCAACAGUCCCUCAACCCAGCAACCGCCUAUCCACAGCUUCACUAUUCAGCAUAGAGAGCCAACAUCUAACAUCAUCCCAGGAGGACACAGCUCCAAAUCUGGGGUCUCUUACUUCCCAAUUGCAAACUCCAUGAUCACAACUUUCGAUUUCUGUGGAAUGAGUCCCACCCUCCACUAACUAUCCAGUCUCAGGAUUCCCUGAUCUUCCUGAAAAGCCAUCUCUCAAAAAUAUAGUUGUUUAAUCCAAACCUUGGUCAAACCUAACUCUUCCCCUGGUCAAUUUACCAUCCAUCCAGGAUUGUUUUUCACCAGUGGCUAUAGGGUCUGGGAUAUCUUAAAACUUCCCUUUCUAUCACCUACCCUCCUUACCCCUAACCUCCCCCCACCCCCAAAUAAACAAGACACAUGAAAAGUCCAAGUAAUAAAUAAUUGCCCAUAAGAAAUAAAUUAACAUGGAGCUCUCUAAAGGGGAAGGAAAGGAACAGAAAAGACUACCAGGAUAGGCAGCUCUCUUGGGAAAGAAUGUUCCCAAAGACAGAAAUGGGAUGUGCGCUUCUACACUCAGAUGGGCGAGCAAGCAAGCAGACAGCAUAAGCAAGGCAGGAAGGAAAAGAGGCUGCACUGCCCCUCCAUCCCUGUUUUGGGUCCCUGAUUUCCCGCUAUUGCUGCUGUGUUGGACUUUUUUUUUUUUUUUUUUUUUUUUGCCUCUUUUGUUAAACAGCAACAGAGCUCUGCCACUUUGGCCAACCACCCUCCUUUGUCCUCUUCCUUUUCCCUCCUGCCAAGUGUCC